GGAUGUAAGGGCAAUCUUUCUGCAACAUCUGUCACCCCAUUGAUCUCCAGGGUUGAUUUGGUUGAUCUGGCUGGCUAGGCAGGUGUCCCCUUGCUCCCUCACCCUUCCUUGUGUGUCCCUCCUAAAGCUGUUCCCUUGGUCAAAGAGAAUGACCUUCCCCCAUAGAGGCCUACCAUUCUUCAGUCAAGGGUAUAUGAGCAGCUGUGCUCCCCUGCUGAAACAAACUCCCAAGGUCCAUUUGUAGGAGAACAUAGGGUAAUCAAGCUUCCAAGACUCUGGACACAUCCAAAUGCUGUAUAUGGCAGUCUGCCUUCCUUU
rnacentral:snRNA from 1 species